UACGAGAGGCCCAAACGUUAUUCGGAAUUACUGGGCUUAAAGAGUUCGUAGGCGGCGCAGAAAGUAGGGUGUGAAAGCCCUCGGCUCAACCGAGGAAUUGCGCUCUAAACUACUGUGCUUGAGGGACCUAGAGGUGAGCGGAACUGAUGGUGGAGCGGUGAAAUGCGUUGAUAUCAUCAGGAACACCGGAGGCGAAGGCGGCUCACUGGGGGUCUUCUGACGCUGAGGAACGAGAGCCAGGGGAGCGAACGGG
rnacentral:rRNA from 1 species